GAGAGACAGUUUUUGAAGGACAGCAGAAGGAUCGAGACUAUUCUGGGUUUGAAGAACAGCAGAAGAAUCGGUCUCGGUCAAGAAACGCCACCGUCGGGAGAUGAUCGAAACGGUUUCGGUUUCGGUUUCGGUUUCGGUUUCUUGGUUUGGUGAUCAACGAUAUUUUCACCAACUUGAUCGUUGUAAUCAAUCGCAAUAUCUGAAGAAAUCGAUGAUCGUGAACGAAUCGUCUGUGGUUGAUCCUGAUUCGUUAGGUAGGAGGCAUGGAUAAGAGGGUGUUGGAGUGGUGUGUUGGUCGGUGAGAAGGAUAGCUAAAGGGAGAAGUGCAAGAAGAAUCUCGACUCGUGAAUACACCAAAAUGUACAGAAUCAAUUCUCAUAUCAAGCAUGAUUCAGGGUGAGUUUGAUAUUAAAAGUGAUCAAUGAUCCAUAUCUUUUCUUAUA